GAAGAUCUCUUCUCCUAGUAACUUCGCAAAAGAAGGAUUUAACCUCAUCAUAGAAUGGGUAUCCUAAACCAGCAGAAUAGAUAAUCCAAAGCCAUAUUCAAGGCUCAUAAUUGUCAUCAUGUUAUAAUGACACCCUCAGAA